rnacentral:rRNA from 1 species
AUUGAACGCUGGCGGCAGGCUUAACACAUGCAAGUCGAGAGAGCGGCGGACGGGUGAGUAAUGUCUGGGAAACUGCCUGAGGGAAGGGGAUAACUACUGGAAACGGUAGCUAAUAACGCCUACCAUCAGAUGUGCCGAGCUGGGAGUAGCUAGUGGGUGGGGUAAUGGCUCACCUAGGCGGCGAUCCCUAGCUGGUCUGAGAGGAUGACCAGCCACACUGGAACUGAGACACGGUCCAGACUCCUACGGGAGGCAGCAGUGGGGAAUAUUGCACAAUGGGCGAAAGCCUGAUGCAGCCAUGCCGCGUGUGUGAAGAAGGCCUUCGGGUUGUAAAGCACUUUCAGCUAGGAGGCGUUACUCGCAGAAGAAGCACCGGCUAACGUCGUGCCAGCAGCCGCGGUAAUAC